rnacentral:rRNA from 1 species
AGCAGCCGCGGUAAUUCCAGCUCCAAUAGCGUAUAUUAAAGUUGUUGCAGUUAAAAAGCUCGUAGUUGAAUUUCGGGAUUGACGUGACGGUCAUGCCUUAAGGGGUAUGAACUGUUACAGUUGAUUUCUCACCUUCUGGAGAAACUUGAUGUCCUUUAUUGGGUGUCUUGCGGAUCCAGGACCUUUACCUUGAAAAAUUAGAGUGUUUAAAGCAGGCAUUUUUGCUCGAUACAUUAGCAUGGAAUAAUAGAAUAGGACGGCAUGGUUCUAUUUUGUUGGUUUCUAGGAUCACCGUAAUGAUUAAUAGGGAUAGUUGGGGGCAUUAGUAUUCAAUUGUCAGAGGUGAAAUUCUUGGAUUUAUUGAAGACUAACUACUGCGAAAGCAUUUGCCAAGGAUGUUUUCAU